GAGGGAGAAGAUGUGAGUAGUAAGGAAGAGAUAACUCAAGGUACAGAAAAUGUUGAGAAGGAGAAAGAAUGGUCAGAUGUUUCACCGGGGAAAUCUAGCCGCUCUUCUAAUUCAAGUCAAAAGGAAUUGGAGUCUAUUUUUACGAAAUCAAGAUUUGAUGUGUUAACACCGAAGGAGGGUAAAGAAGUGACAGUUUAUGAGAAAGAGGAGCAAGAAGAAGAUGAUCAACAUGACAAAUUGCAAGACAAAGAAGUUAUUCAUAGGAGAGUAUUACCUCGAGAAUUUAAGAUUAAUCAUAGAUAUCUCAUAGCUAAAGCAUGAGGUUAGACAGCUCAGGAUGUUGAUUCUAGCUAU
rnacentral:lncRNA from 1 species